rnacentral:rRNA from 1 species
AACUCGGCAAAAUGACCCCGUAACUUCGGGAGAAGGGGUGCUCUUUAGGGUUAACGCCCAGAAGAGCCGCAGUGAAUAGGCCCAAGCGACUGUUUAUCAAAAACACAGGUCUCUGCUAAACCGUAAGGUGAUGUAUAGGGGCUGACGCCUGCCCGGUGCUGGAAGGUUAAGAGGAGUGGUUAGCUUCUGCGAAGCUACGAAUCGAAGCCCCAGUAAACGGCGGCCGUAACUAUAACGGUCCUAAGGUAGCGAAAUUCCUUGUCGGGUAAGUUCCGACCCGCACGAAAGGCGUAACGAUUUGGGCACUGUCUCAACGAGAGACUCGGUGAAAUCAUAGUACCUGUG